UACGUAGGGUGCGAGCGUUGCCCGGAUUUAUUGGGCGUAAAGGGCGCGUAGGCGGCUCUGCACGUCCGUUGUGAAAUCGCCCGGCUCAACUGGGCGGGGUCAGCGGAUACGGCGGAGCUUGAGCAAGCUAGGGGGCAAUGGAAUUCCCGGUGUAGUGGUGGAAUGCGUAGAUAUCGGAAGGAACGCCGGUGGCGAAAGCGAGUCGCUGGACCUCUUCUGACGCUGAGGCGCGAAAGCCAGGGGAGCAAACGGG
rnacentral:rRNA from 1 species